UACGUAGGGUGCAAGCGUUAAUCGGAAUUACUGGGCGUAAAGCGUGCGCAGGCGGUUUUGUAAGUCUGUCGUGAAAUCCCCGGGCUUAACCUGGGAAUUGCGAUGGAGACUGCAAGGCUAGAAUCUGGCAGAGGGGGGUAGAAUUCCACGUGUAGCAGUGAAAUGCGUAGAGAUGUGGAGGAGCACCGAUGGCGAAGGCAGCCCCCUGGGUCAAGAUUGACGCUCAUGCACGAAAGCGUGGGGAGCAAACAGG
rnacentral:rRNA from 1 species